GCUCUCGAAGCUCAGUUGGAUAGAGCGACUCCCUCCUAAGGAGUAGGUCGCGCGUUCGAUCCGCGCCGGGAGCA
rnacentral:tRNA from 1 species